UGCUGGGAGAUUAGCAGUCCCUUUACCAAAGAAGAAUCUCAGUGCUAGAUCAUGAAUGGUGUUUGCAGUGCUCCUCUGAAGAAAGAUCUCUUCAGUGAAUCUUUGCUGCUCAGUUUGCUUCGAAUAAAUGAUGUGAAUUCCUACACCACCGAGCCAAGAUAAGUUUUGACAAGCUGCAGAAAUUGGUGGAAAAGGCUUGAGGAUGGCAGUGAGCACAGAGCCAAGUUGCAGAGAGCACAGGGAGACCUGCUCGACGCAAAUGCUGCACUCCACUUCCUAGAGCUCUCC